rnacentral:rRNA from 1 species
GAUGAACGCUGGCGGCGUGCCUAAUACAUGCAAGUCGAGCGAAUGGAUUAAGAGCUUGCUCUUAUGAAGUUAGCGGCGGACGGGUGAGUAACACGUGGGUAACCUGCCCAUAAGACUGGGAUAACUCCGGGAAACCGGGGCUAAUACCGGAUAACAUUUUGAACCGCAUGGUUCGAAAUUGAAAGGCGGCUUCGGCUGUCACUUAUGGAUGGACCCGCGUCGCAUUAGCUAGUUGGUGAGGUAACGGCUCACCAAGGCAACGACGCGUAGCCGCCGUGAGAGGGUGAUCGGCCACACUGGGACUGAGACACGGCCCAGACUCCGACGGGAGGCAGCAGUGGGGAAUAUUGCACAAUGGGAGCAAGCCUGAUGCAGCAACGCCGCGUGAGGGAUGACGGCCUUCGGGUUGUAAACCUCUUUUAGUAGGGAAGAACAAGUGCUAGUUGAAUAAGCUGGCACCUUGACGGUACCUAACCAGAAAGCCACGGCUAACUACGUGCCAGCCGCCGCCGUAA